rnacentral:rRNA from 1 species
UACGUAGGUGACCAGCGUUGUCCGGAUUACUGGGCGUAAAGAGCGCGCAGGCGGUCGUUCAAGUCGAGUGUGAAAGCCCCCGGCUCAACUGGGGAGGGUCAUUCGAUACUGAUCGACUGGAAGGCAGGAGAGGGGAAGCGGAAUUCCCGGUGUAGUGGUGAAAUGCGCAGAUAUCAGGAGGAACACCGAUGGCGAAGGCAGGUCUCUGGGGCCAUAACUGACGCUGAGAAGCGAAAGCAUGGGGAGCGAACAGG